UGCACAUACUAGGCAAGCACUCUACCACUGAGCCACAUCCCCAGCCCUCAAUGACUAUUUUUAAGUGAGCAAAUGGCAAAAAAUAAAAAAUCAUCUGAAAUAAAUAUACUACAAUGCUGCCAGUGCUUAACUCUCAGUUUUGACAGAUUGAAUGAUUUUUAUUUUUUUACUUUCCUGAAUUUCACAAAUUUGAGGAGAGUCUGUAUAUCAUUUUUGAUGACAAGAAUUUAAAAAAAACCUAGUUUUAUAAUUCGGAGCUGUUUUAGUCAUCUUUUCCACUACUGUAACUAAAAGAUGUGAGCAGAACAAUUCUAAAAGAUGAAAUUUUAAUCUGAGGGCUCAGGGUUUCAGAGGUCUUAGUUCACAUAAGGCCAUAUCCAUUUCUCAGGGCUCCAGGUAAGGCCGAUUGAUCAUCAUGGCGGAAGGAUAUGGCAGAGGGAAACAGCUCACAUGUUGAUGAGAAAGGAGAGAGAGACUCUCCUUGCCAGAUACAACUAUGUACCCCAAAGCCAUGCCCCAGUUUCCACCUCCUCUAGCCACACCCUAUCACUUCAGUUACCAGUUAACCCCAUAGGGAUUAAUUUACUAAUUAGGUUAAUGCUAUAACCUAAUCAUUUCUCCUCCAAAUUUCUUGUAUUGUCUCAUACAUGAGCUUUGGGGAGACACCUCAUAUCCAAGCCAUAACAGGGACAAAACUCAUAAACAAUAUUACUGUGUAAACUCUUUAGUGACUUCUCAUAGUCUUCCAAACCUAAAAAAUUUAAAAAAAACUAAACUUCUCAGAAAAAUCUACAUGAAAUUCUAACAAUGUAGCUAGUCCCAUAUUUCACUAUUUUUUAUCAGUGUCAAAAGGCAAUACAGAUCAAGUUUUGGCUUCAAAUAGUCCAGAUUUAAGUCCUUGUUCUGCUGUUUAGAAUCCUCAAGAUUUUAGAAGAGUUGCUUAACUUCUCUAAGUUUCAUUUUCCUUGUCUAUGAAAUAGCCCCUCCAUCACAGAAGUGUGGGAGCAUUAAGUGAUAUUAAUGCAUGGCAUUUAAAAUUAUGCUCAGUAUUAAGUUAGCUCUCGGUAAAUGUUAGUCACCUUGCUGUAAUUCAAUGUGCCUCAUUUUAUCCUGUCUCUACAUGAGCUGCUCUUCUCAGCUCUCUUGUGUUUCAGAGUUCAGAUCAUGUGUCCCCUUUUCCCACAACCUUUUCUGUCAAUUGGACACAAUUAUGCUUCAUCAGAGCCCCUUACUUUUCUCUAUCUUAGUAUAAUUUUACUAAUUAUAAUAACAAAUUUGUUUAUACAUAUUCUUAUGUAAGCUGGAAAAUCAUAAAUAUGUUGACUUAUUUAAAUCUUAUUUGUUCUUUAAAUAUCUUAAAAUAACUUGUGAUAUUUAAUAAGUGCACAAAGUAAAUUAAGAAAUGAUUAUGAAAUGAAUAAGUGAAUAAAUGAGUUGGCAAAUCAGGCAAAGACAGAUUGAUACUGUUUUAUCUUGUAGAUAUGUUUUAUAACCCACCUGUACUUUCUGUCCAUUUGGGGUGUAGGUACUGAAUAGUAUGGAGCAAAGGAUGGGUAAUAGGUUGUGAGCUGGGUUAGGUGGUGAGUGGAUGUGGGGUAAGGAGUAUUGGUGAGUAUGCAUGUGUAAGGCAGUGGGUAAGUAAUGUGUGGGUGUUGAGAGGGAUAUAAGUACAGAAUUGAUGUGUGUUGAGGAUUGGGUAUCCAGUAGAUAAGAAGCAGAGGACCAAGAUUGGGCACGGGAUAGGAGAUAAUGAAUUGGUUUAGGGUCAGGAGCAGUAGUAAGGUGAUGUGGAAGUGAGGUCUUGAUUCUGGUGCUAGUUGUGGGGCAAGGUAUAUACAGUGAAUUGAUAUGGUUAAGCAGUAAUUAGAUAAUUGUUAGGGGGUAGAGGUAGAUAAUGAGUGUAAAGUGGGAUAUAGUUAGAAAGUGGGUAUGGCAGCUGGGUGCAGUGGCACACUUGUAAUCCUAUCAGAUCAGGAGGCUGACAGGAGGAUCGCGAGUUCAAAGCCAACCUCAGAAAUGGUGACAUGCUAAAAACUCAGUUAGACCCUGUCUCUAAAUAAAAAAUACAAAAACUAGAGCUGGGGUUUUUGUGGCUCAGUGGUUGAGUGCCCCUGAGUUCAAUCCCUGGUAUCAAAAAAAAGAAAGUAGGCGUGGGAAAGAUGUUAAAUAGGGGUUCAGAAUAGUAGGUGGGUUUGGGACAGGUUGUAGGUAGUAAUGGUGUGUGAGGUGGGUUUGGAUAGUGACUGAAGCAUCAGAUAUGGGCAUAGAGAUUGAAAAUGAACUGAGACUCACAUCUGGAGCUUGCUCACAGAUCUUGGACUUAGACCUAGACUCAAUUCUGUACGCUAAAGCUAGACUUUGGCCACAGAUUGAACCUGCUGCUUGGACUUAUGUCUUGGAACUACAAACUCUAAUGUAGGUCUAAUUUAGAUCUAAUGUAAUCUGCACCUUGAACUACCCACACUAAUGUUGAUCUGGACUUCACCUUGUACAUACAUUGGACCAGAACCACAUGCUUGGAUACUAGACAUUGAUGUGGUCUUUAAGCCUGGACCUGAACAUUUGAGUUGGACCUUGUUCCUAAAUAUUUGACAUAGAUUUUGAACUAGGACAUUGUACUAAUCUCAGAUCAUAAACUGAUCUUUAUUCUUGAACCUUGACAUGAACUUUGAAUUUGGCCUUAGACCUUGGAACUGCAAGUAUGAGGAAGUUCAUACUUCAUACCUCAGUUUGCCUAGAACCUUGGAAUAGACUUUGAUCUUGAAAAGAGACCUCUUAAUUCAGACUUGUACCUUAGACCUGGAACCUGGAACUGGACUUUAGAACUAGACUUUACAUCCACAUCUGGACAUGGUAUUGGACCCAAACCUUGGUUUUGUAACUAAGUUGUCAUCUGACCAAGAAUCUACACCUCUCUUCUGAAUCUUGACCCAGUCCUAGAUAUUGAAAGUUCAACAUAAAUUUUAUAUGAACCUAGAAACUCACCCAGAAUCUAGUCCUGAACCUAGACAUUUGUUCAGGAUCUCAGACUUAAUCUUAGACUUGCAAAUUGGGCUUUAACCGGGGUUUUCUAUCUGGACCUUGUAUCUCAGUGCUGAUCUUGGGUUUGGAGGUUGAAUUCAGGCUAGGAUUUUGGAUGUUGAAUUGGACUUGUAUUUUAUUGUGAUCUUGAACUUGACAUCAUGCUUUGAUACUAGACAUGAAUCUGACUUGAAACUUAUAAUUGAUUCUGGACCUGGACCUUGGUCUUGGGAAUCAGAAGGUAGAUCAAGACUGGACUUUAAACCAGGAUAUUGGAUCUAAUUACUGGACUUGGAUUUUAUACCCUGAGAUUGUACCUUGACUUUGCACCUUGAUUUUUCCUGUACAACUAACUUAAUAUUAGAUCUAAAAUUUGAACAUGUACCUUGACAGGUUUUGAUCUUGAAGCUGGCCAUUAAUCUUUGUGCUGAAUAUAAAUCCUAGGUUUGGCCUGAACUUUGAUUUUAGACCUUAGUUUUCUUGGGUCUUGAACAUGGAUUUCAAAUCUGAACCUUGUCCUUAAAAGUGAACAAUAAUAUUUCAACCUUGUGUCUGGAUGCUGAGGAAUAUUGAAGUGACUUUAAAUCUUGGACCUUAACCUGUAACCUUGAUCUCAGCUCUAAAUCCCAGUUUAGAACUUGAUCUUGGUCUCAGUAACCUGGAUCUUGAUCUUCAUCUAAGACUCUGGGUGUCAAAGUUGGACAUGGACUUUAGAUCUGGUUUUAGAUUUUGAACCUGAUCCUCUGACAUGGAUUUUACCUGGGCCUUGGACCCUAAUAUAUCUUCAAAUGCAUUAUGAAUAGUUCCUCACUAUAAAUUACUCAAUACCAUGGUCUUGCCUAUUGAGAUCUUCAUAACCACUAUUAUUGAAAUCAUUGACAUAACUAAUCAGCAACUGAAAAAAUUCUUUGAAGUCAUAGAUUUGUUUAUGUUUUUUCGUACACCUAAUUCAACAAUAUCUCAGCCAAUAUUUGUCUUCACUUCUAGAGAGACAAUGCAUCUUGACCUGGCUAUCCAUGAGGUACCUCAACAGCUCUACCAUCACAAAGUCUUUGCAAGAAUUAUCUCAAUUCAUUCACAAUUCUACAGAACCAUAGAACAUGGAAAGAAGUUGGCAGUAAAUUGCUGAAGUCUGUUGCAACCCUGGAGGGCAUGGUUUGCCUUAGAGCUGCAACACUGAGAGCAGCAACAAGCCACUCAAAGGUAGGGAAGAAGAAUGAGACUUUGUCAUCUAGGAUCCUCACAGCUGAAGCAGAUAAGCAUCCACUGCAGGGAUUAGCUGCUAACAUUACAAUGGGCUUUCUGGGCUACAAAGGAGGCUGGGCAUCUGGGUUUCACUACUUCCUUCACCUCCAUCCCCACUCCCACUCCCACUAUCAAUUCCUGUCCCAAGCAUACUCAUUACCUAUUCCCUUUCCCAUAUCCACUUAUAAUUUAUCCUAAGUUUCAUAUGGAUAAUUAUUUGCUUAUUGGAUCAUUCUAUGUACCUAUGCAUGUAUAUAUGCAUGAUGUAUGUAUCUACCAACCAUCUAUCCAUCUUAUGUAGCUCUUUAUCAAGGAGUCAGGAAAGGGAAAUUCAAUGUGCUUGGUUAUUCAUCUUCAUAAACUUCUUGUAAUUACUCAUUUAAAACUAAUUGUGAAUGAACCAUGGAAACUUGUAUACUGGAGGGUUUCACGUCUCACUCUGAAGAACAUUUGUUUCUUCUCUAUUCUCUUAUGUGAGUCUUGGGCAUGCACCCAGGAUAGGGGUAGGGCUGUGCUCUUACAAUUUGCUGGAGAUUCAUGUUUACUGUAUUGUGGCCAUAUGUUAUCAAUAAUAAGACCUGAUAAUACUUCCAUGUAUAAAUUACUUAUUAUUAGAAAAUGUCCUUGUGUUAUAUGAUGAUCUAUCUUAAAAACAAAUAAAUGAAAAAACUUA